rnacentral:rRNA from 1 species
GACGAACGCUGGCGGCGCGCUUAACACAUGCAAGUCGAACGGAGUUUUUUAGAAUGAAGUUUUCGGAUGGAAUUUUUUAAAACUUAGUGGCGGACGGGUGAGUAACACGUGAGCAACCUGCCUUUCAGAGGGGGAUAACGGGCUGGAAACGGUCGCUAAUACCGCAUAACGUUGCGAUAGGGACCAUCCUAAGUGCUAACCAAAGGAGCAAUCCGCUGAAAGAU